AAAUAAUGAAAACACGGGAAACAGAGUGACUCCCUUCAAAACAACAUGUCGCUUUCCUUUCUCUCCAUUCCUUUAACAGCACAUUGAAGACACUGCCUAGGGUUCACUCUGCCUUCCAAAUUGCAGAUCGAAGAACAUCGAAGGUUUGGUAAGAAUAAUUUCCCCUCUUUCUUGCAAUCACGUUUCUUUAGUGGAAAUUGAUUGACGAUUACAUGUGCUUUGUAGACCACCAAAGUAGAUCAUUUAGAACACUUUCUCCCUUUUGAUUUUUGAUUCUUUCUCGGUACUGAAUAUGAUGGCACCACGUCACUUAGGUAUUUUCUUCUUGGCAGUUUUCUAUUUGUUCGGAGUAAUCAACGCGAGCCUAAAUGACUUUGAUUAAUUUCUUCUCGGCCAGAUUUCUAUAAUUUGUAUGUCCAACUGACAAACUGCUAUUUUUAUUUUGUGUUGCAAGUGGGGUUUUCUUUACCGAGCGUGUUAACUUCAAUUGAUUGUGUGGUAACAAUUUUGCAAUGAGCCUUUUCUACUUAGUGUUUGCAGCAAUUUCAAAGAUAAAAUCUUCUUGGAUGUAUGCCCACUAUAGUCUAAUACUACAUCCUUUUAACGUGGGUUAUCUGUCUUCACUUUGCAGACAAUUGACAGGUGUUGUGAUAGGCAUUUUAAUGAUAUAUGUACACAUAUGUAAAUAACUAUAUCAAUCCAGAUCAAGAUUCAAUUAAGCAUGAAGUUAGAAUGAGAAAUAAGGAGGGAAGGGGGGUAGGUCAAGAUUGAAUUGCAAAUUGACAAGUUACUAAAAUGCAUGGGAAAUAAAAGAAGGAAUAAUCAAUUAGAAAGAAAAUGGAAGAGGAAGAAAUCUAACCUGUGUUUUCAGGGACUUUGUUUGCAAUAUCCAGUGUUUCUUGGUCUUAUAUAUUUCUUGAUAAUUUUAUGUAUAUUCAAUAUAGUUUCAACAUGGGUGGUCACAGAGUCAGGAAUAAGGAACCAAUGUCAUGGUCAGACGAGAAUGAACACGCUUUAUUGAAAUUCUUUAUGAGAAAGUCAAAUCAAACGCAUUGCAAUGUUCUACAUUCACGAAAGACAAAUUGGAUAGGAUCAAUGAGACCAUGAUAGCUUUAACAAAAAUGGAUUAUGGGAUAGAUAGAUUAAAGGGAAAGUGGAACCGCUUACGUAAAAUUCAUCGCAUGUCCUCUAAACUUUUGGGACAUACAGGUGUUACAUGGGAUCCAAAUACCAAUAAAGUUAAUGCCACAGAGGAAGUUUGGCAACAUUUUUAUAUGGUACAUAUAUUUAUUAAAGAAUAUAUUCGUCAUUAGUUUAUUAUCUUAUCAAUUAUACAUUUUCUUGUUGAAUGUUAUAACAAUGUGACUUUUUUUUCCAAUGGUAGAUUAACAAGUCGGAUUACAAGAUAUUCAGAAGGGAAGGAUGUAAGCACUACCACACUCUUAGGGAGAUAUUUAGCGGGAUUACUGCUACUGGAGGAUUAGGUAAUGCCUCCACUUAGCUUCCAAACACAUCAAAUGAAGAAAGAUAGCUAGAAGAUGAUUUCUUGAACAGGAGAGUGCUGCGGAAAAUGAUGAUGAAGUCGAUGAGCUUUCCUUUUCUCGUCGACGUAACGGAGUUGGUACAUCGGGUGAACGCCGACGUAAGGAACCUAAGAUCAGUAAAAGUAAUAAACUCGAGGCCUGCAUGGCACAGUGGUCAUCUGUGCAAAGUCUGAGGACUGAAGAAACUGAACUUAGAACACUUUACCUAAAAGAAAAGCUUGCAAAGAUCUAAGGAAAAUCACGUAAUCAAUCGGAUAGUGAAGUUAAUAGUCCGGAUCCUUAUCCAAAUGUUAUUUGCUUGGACAUCUUAAACAGUAUGGAAGGGGUGUCCAACGAGGUUUAUAUGAAAACAAUAAAAGCUUUUAAGGAUCCCGAUUUCAGAGUGUCAUUUGUGAAGAUGCCAGAAGCAAGGAGAGGACCUAUAUUAGAACUGCUUUGAUGUGACUGUUGUUUUAAUCUCUCUAGUAUGAUGUUGUUUUAAUUUGUGAUGUUAAAAGUUGAAGUAUUGUGUCAUUUUCAAAGCUUUCAAGGACCUUUCUUUCCAUUUUGUGGUGAUGUUGUACUGUUUCCAUUAUGGAGAACAUAUGUUAAUUGUUCUGUAGUUUCUAAAUGCUUGAUUGCUUGUUUUAUUUGAAAGAAUGUGGUUGAUAUGACUUAUGAUAAUUAUUUUGGUUAUGCUUUGUUCACAGUAUGGCCAGUCAAUUAAAUGUGGAUGAUAAUGUGAGUAUCGAUGAUUCCAUUGAUGAAGAUUCAAGUGAUGAUGAUUUGUUAUAUAUGGAUUAUUUUGAUAGAAAUAUUAGAGAUUUAAUGAUGCUUAAUUGCUUUGUUGCCAACAAAGGAAGUAUAAUUGGUAGGAGACCUUGUAGAACAUCAUUGCUUACAGGAAAAAUGUACAUGCUAGAAAUUUUGAAUUGACAUCCGAACGUGUG
rnacentral:lncRNA from 1 species